AGAAAAAGGAGAAAACUCUAAACUAACGGUAAGAAUGGGAGUGGAAUGGUAGAACACUAACCUAGCAUGUAAGAGAUCCCAGGUUCAGUCCCCUGUAACUGGAGUGAAAGACAAUUGUGAGCCACCAUGUGAGUGCUAGGGAUUGAACCCGGGUCCUCUAGAAGAGCAGUCAGUACUCUUAACCAGUGAACCAUCUCUCCAGCCCAUGUCUAUGACAUUUUAAAGGAAUAUUUUAGCACAUUUUUUUUUAAGUAGGAAGAACAAACGACUUGAUACUGUUGUAAACUACACCAGAAUUGAUGUAUCUAUCAGCGGUUUUGGGUCAGAAACCUAAGGACUUAAAGAGGAGAGAUUUCGGCUGAACUUUUGCCUCUGACAACAUAGCCGUUUGCAAAGCUGUACUCUUAUAGACUUUUUCCUAUCUGGUUAUGUCAAAAUUCCCAAUAAUGCUCAAUUUGCCAACUUCAAACUAACAGCAAUUGAACGUCUGAAAGGAAACAAGUAGAUGACAUGAUGAAUGCAGGGCAUCUCAGCAGGGAGGGAGAACAAAGUAUCUCCUGAAGAGGAAAUGUUUC
ensembl:antisense Gm16321 predicted gene 16321